rnacentral:rRNA from 1 species
GUAGGGUGCAAGCGUUAAUCGGGAAUUACUGGGGCGUAAAGCGUGCGCAGGCGGUUAUGCAAGACAGAGGGUGAAAUCCCCCGGGGCUCAACCUGGGAACUGCCUUUGUGACUGCAUGGCUAGAGUACGGUAGAGGGGGAUGGAAUUCCGCGUGUAGCAGUGAAAUGCGUAGAUAUGCGGAGGAACACCGAUGGCGAAGGCAAUCCCCUGGACCUGUACUGACGCUCAUGCACGAAAGCGUGGGGAGCAAACAGGAUUAGAUACCCUGGUAGUCCACGCCCUAAACGAUGUCAACUGGUUGUUGGGAGGGUUUCUUCUCAGUAACGUAGCUAACGCGUGAAGUUGACCGCCUGGGGAGUACGGCCGCAAGGUUG